AACGAACGCUGGCGGCAGGCUUAACACAUGCAAGUCGAGCGCCCCGCAAGGGGAGCGGCAGCCGGGUGAGUAACGCGUGGGAACGUACCUUUUGGUUCGGAACAACUCCGGGAAACUGGAGCUAAUACCGGAUAAGCCCUAACGGGGAAAGAUUUAUCGCCGAAAGAUCGGCCCGCGUCUGAUUAGCUAGUUGGUGAGGUAACGGCUCACCAAGGCGACGAUCAGUAGCUGGUCUGAGAGGAUGAUCAGCCACACUGGGACUGAGACACGGCCCAGACUCCUACGGGAGGCAGCAGUGGGGAAUAUUGGACAAUGGGCGCAAGCCUGAUCCAGCCAUGCCGCGUGAGUGAUGAAGGCCUUAGGGUUGUAAAGCUCUUUUGUCCGGGAAGAUAACGACUGUACCGGAAGAAUAAGCCCCGGCUAACUUCGUG
rnacentral:rRNA from 1 species